GUUACCAUUUAUUUCCAGCUAGGCAAAAUGUCAGAAUUCAUACUUCAUGAUAGUUUUAUUCAUGGUUUAUUUUUUUCUUGGUUCAUGUUCAGAUCUUCUCUCAUAGGUUUUUAUCACCAAAAACUUGCAGAAGCUCAAAGCAGGCUAUGCGUACUGGGUGGAAAUAUCUCAGGACGGACUUCAGGCACCUUUGCUUUGGCAAGAUGGCUCCUCUCCUUCUCCCGACCUGUAAGUCUCAGAGGAAAAUGUUGUGAGAAUAACUAGAAAGAUGAGGCAAUUCAAAGGUUAAUUUUAUUGUGCACACUGGAUUCCCUUCAGGAGACAUAUCAGCAUUUCAAUAUCACAGGCUCCUGAUUGAAAUUAAAGCUAAUGUUAUGAAGAGGUAGUUUCACAGCUUCUAAAUCUUCUUCUCAGCCCUCCAAACAUUAUCCUACAGAAAAUAAACCAAAAUAUGAGUGUCUAAAUGAGCAAUAUAACAUAAUUAUCAAGUGCAUUUUCUCUGUAUCACUUAAUGUUUAGAGCACUAAGGGAAACAGAUUGUAAUAAUUAUUAAGCAAUUAUCAUAUUGAACUUUUAAGAUAGAACUAGAGAGACUGGUGAGCAGAAUCAAGUACCCUACUACCUUGAGAAUUAAGAGUCAGGAGACAUAUACUAUCUACCACCUAUCUUUGUGUAUACAUGGCUUCCUUUUCUUCGUACACUGUUAAAAUUACAUUAACAUAUUUUUAUGGAGACAAAACUGCUGCUGCUGAAGGAGGAGGAUAAAACCACCACAGGAGGGUGCCAUAUUAAAACAAAAAGGCCUCUCUCAUGUGUUAACCUCAAAAGCAUCCUUGUCACACUCCCAUCUAACCUCAGAUAUGCUGACUUGCCUUUCCAGGUUACCAACAAAGGGACCCCAGUCAACCAACCAGCUCUGCAGAUUCCUCAAAGACAAUGUCCUUUUGUCAGAUAACUGUAACAACUGGAAAUAUUUUAUCUGUGAGAAGUGCUCAUUAAGAUGCUCUAUCUGAAAGAAUUUGCUCAAAAAGAUCUAUAACGCUGGUAUUUGAAACAGGCCAUUGAAAAACCUGCCACAAAAAGACUAAGAGCAAAUACAGAAGUACACCAGUGUAUGGGCUUUGAAACCAGCUUCCUAGAAAUCAACGCUUACUUUCAUAUUUUCACUUGGAAAUGUCUUCAACAAUUUGAAGAUUUCAGUUGACAUUGUUCAAAUUGCCAAUAACUUGAUUGGAAUUACAGAGGACCAGACACUGAUGCUCUAUGAACAAACAAGAACAUAAUUUCCUUCCCUCCCUCCCUCUUUCUCUUUUCUUCCUUCCCUUCCCUUCCCUUCUCCUCUCUUUUCCUCUCCUCUCCUCUCCUCUCCUCUCAAGGCCAUUGAGAAAAUAAAAUUUGUCUGUAAAUUGUCAGUGACUACUUGGAGAGAAUAUGUUUGAAAGUCAAUUAAUCCUCUUCAAAUAAAAUUAUCCUCUAUAUUCAAUCUCCUCUCCUCUCCUCUCCUCUCCUCUCCUCUCCUCUUCUCUCUCUCUUUCUCUCUCUCUCUUUCAGAUAGAACUAGGAGACUCCCCCCCCCUCUCUCUCUCUUCUUUUGUCCAGAGAAAGUAUAAAUAUCACGCAGAAAUCAAUAUGUGAUUGGAGGAGGUGGUCCAGUUAUAACUGAUUGAUUUUUUUAAAUAAAUAAAUAAAUGUAAAGCUUGCAGCCUGCCAAAUCUUCCUAUGCAUUUUCUAAGUUUUCAGGCAUUAUGUUGGAUUGACAGAGUAAAAGGAAAGAGAUAUGGAUUUCCAAAUUGGAAUUGAGGGGAAAAGGCUUUUCUCUGCAGUGUCACUGUUCUCUGUGUCAGGACUGCAGAGUUCCAUGGAGAAGUGAACCCCUAGAACUUGCCAGCAUCGGUUACCCAGUGAAGGAAAGCUGUGAGCUUCCUGACUCCCUCUGAGUACAUUCUCACCACUCACAAAUCGAAGGGCUCAUGUCUGAACCCCCCAGAUUAACAUACCAGUACUUUUAACUGUAUUUCUCAAUGCCCCAAAUUCUCCAUCAAAAAAUAAUAAUUGGAUUUACUUUUAAAAUUGUUGGAAGACUAAAUCAAAAAUAUAUGUAAAUUGUUGCGAAUGAUGUCCUAUAGAGUUGGAUACUGUAUCAGUGCUUGCUACUGUUAUCUGGAGUAAGCCACCAGCCACUUCUAGAUAUCAACCUCUAUGUGCAUGCUGGGCAAAACAGUCUAUUUUCCUGCUAAUGUUGCAGGGCCAUUGAGAAAAUAAAAUUUGUCUGUAAAUUGUCAGUAACUACUUG
rnacentral:lncRNA from 1 species